UUAUAAGACGAGAAGACCCCAUGGAGCUUUAAACCCAAUUAUAUCUCUAACCACUAUAACCAUUUAACCACUUAGAACUUAUAUACUUGGUUUUAGGUUGGGGCGACCACGGAGCACAACCAAACCUCCACGAUGAACGGAACAACCCCCUUAUCUGAGAAUUACACUUCUAAGAAUUAGCACACUAACAUAAAAUGACCCAUUAUUGAUCAACGAACCAAGUUACCCUGGGGAUAACAGCGCAAUCCAUUUUAAGAGCCCCUAUCGACAAAU
rnacentral:rRNA from 1 species